GCCAAUAAUGCAAGGACUAAUGGGACUUGGUAGAGAGACAACGGCAUCCAAUACUGGACAGGCUAGAUGCUGACAGCUUGAUCUUGGACCUCAAGUUUUCCGAAUUGUGAUAAAUAGAUGUUUAUAAUAAAGCCACCCAGUCUGUGGUAUCUUGUUGUGAUAGCUGGACCUGACUAAUACACAGGGCAUGUGGCAAGUUUAAGGGGAAGAUGUCUUUCUGAAACAUUUGAAUCAAUCAGAAGUUCUUUUGGAACAACUAAGGAAAGAUGUCAGCUUGCUGCCUCAAAAUGCUGUUUGAUGACACUGGUUUAGAAAAUAGAAAACAGAUUUUUCUUUUCUCCGAAGAAAUAGAAAACUUUCCUCUGUACUCCAAGGGAUAUACAGGAAGAAUAGAAAUAUGAAUUUGAACUGUGACUAAGAGUCAGCAUGUACUUUCCCUUCUCUGGAAAAAGAAAAGAAAAAAGCUGGAGAAGUAAAGCUCAGAAGCACGGUUGGGUAUGGCUGAGUUAAGUAGACUACAUGAAAAAUAAACAGUCAACAAUCUUACAGAGAAAAUGAAUUUUGCUCUUUGAUGUAAGAAAAAGCCCACUCACCUUUAUUUUUAAAAUGUCCUGAGUUGAGGUAAACAAUAUCUAUUUUUGCUAUUAAAAAAUUCUAUUUCUGUCUGAUAUUUUUCCCAAUUGAUAGAAAUCAGAAGAACACUCCUAGAGAAAUUAACACUAAAAUGCAAAAGCACUGUAAUAGCUCCUCUUUGAUAUUAUGAAUUGACUUUA
rnacentral:lncRNA from 1 species